UUUUUUUUUUGAGUUUGGGGUCUUGCUCUGUCACCCAGGCUGGAAUGCAGUGGCACAAUCAUAGCCCACUGCAGCCUUGAACUCCUGGCUCACGUGAUCCUCCCUCUUCAGCCUCCUGAGUAGCUGGGACAACAGGUGCACACCACCAUGCCCCAACCCUUCUUCCACUUUGGAAUAUACUCUGUAUCACACUUCACCUGAUACCUUUGGUUACUGUGUUAGUCCAUUUGUGUUGCUGUAAAGAAAUAUCUGAGGCUGGGUAAUUUAUGAAGAAAAGAGAGGUUGGUAUGAUUACAUCUGCUUUCCAGUUAAGGAAACUGAGGCUGAGAAGGCAGAGUGUCAUGUUAGGCACUAUGCUAGGGCUGGGGAUACGAAACUGUAGAGACCUACUCCCCAUUCUUAAGGAACUUGUCUAGUGGGAAAACAGAGAAGUGAACAGAUGAUUCAAUUCAGAGUAAGUGCUGUGAUGGUGGGGGCACAGGGUUCUAUGGGGCACAUGGAAAGAAGACCGGGGUCAGGUAAUGGGUUCCAGAGGCAAUGCCUGAGCUGAUUCUUGAGGGGCAAAGAGGAGCUGGGAAGGUGACAGGUACAGUAGGGGAAGGUGGGUAUAGGCAGAAGGAGGACAUGUGUAGGCACAGAGGUCUGGGAGCAUGAGGAGGCAGAAAACAAGGAAGAGAGAGCAGGCCAGGUCACCAUGUACUCUGCAUUGCAUCCUGCAGGCUGUGUUUGCUACACCUACUAGUAGUUCAUGAAUUAAAUGUAAAUGAAAUAGGAUAGAGAACAUCAGAGCACAGGACAGUAACAGGACAGUAACUGAGGCCCUCAGUCCAACAACCUGCAAGGAACUGAAUUCUGGCAACCACCAUGAGAGCCUGGAAGCAGAUCAUUCCCAUGUCAAGCCUUCAAAAGAGAUCCCAGCCCUGGAUGACACCUUGACUGCAGCCUCAUGAGACAUCCUGGAGCAGAGAACUCACUAAGCUGUGACUGGAUUCCUGACCCACAGAAACUGUGAAGCAAAUAUGCAUUGUUUUGAGCAAGUUUGUGGUAAUUUGUUAUGCAGCAAUAGAUAACCAAUAUGCAGCCUAAUUUAUAUUUGACUUCCUCUGCUUCCUUAGCUUCAGCCUCACAUUCCUGACUUGACAACCCUCAUACAGUGACACCUACAUCAAACCCAAAUACACUUUCAUACAUUCACACUCAUCAGAGCAGCAAAAAUAGAAAUGUCAGAUAAUUCCAAGAUAUGAUGAAGUGGGAAUUCUCUUACAUUGCUGUUCUGACAGUACAUGAAUACAGUUACUUUAGGGAACAUUGAUGAAAUCUAGGAAAACUGAAGAUGAACCCUUUGCUAUCUAUCAUUCUACUUCUUGGAUAAACUCUCCAAAACCUUUCACACAUACGUACAUGGAAAUAUUCAAGAAUGUUUGUUGUACAACCUUUAGUAUUAGUGAAGGAUAGAAAUAAACUAGUCAUCAAAGGAAAUAGAUGAAUGGUAUUAUAUGGUUACGGCAAUUAAAAUGAGUGAACUAAAUCUAUUAACGUAUAAAUCUCAGAAAUAUAUUGUUGAAUAAAAAAAGGCAACCUCAAGAAAGCAUAGUAUAACAACAUUUAUAGAAAGCUUGAAAAUACGCAAAAUGAUAUU
rnacentral:lncRNA from 1 species